ACGGCUACCACAUCCAAGGAAGGCAGCAGGCGCGCAAAUUACCCAAUCCCGACACGGGGAGGUAGUGACAAUAAAUACUGAUACGGGGCUCUUUUGGGUCUCGUAAUUGGAAUGAGUACAAUCUAAAUCCCUUAACGAGGAACAAUUGGAGGGCAAGUCUGGUGCCAGCAGCCGCGGUAAUUCCAGCUCCAAUAGCGUAUAUUAAAGUUGUUGCAGUUAAAAAGCUCGUAGUUGAACCUUGGGUCUGGCUGGCCGGUCCGCCUCACCGCGAGUACUGGUCCGGCUGGACCUUUCCUUCUGGGGAACCUCAUGGCCUUCACUGGCUGUGGGGGGAACCAGGACUUUUACUGUGAAAAAAUUAGAGUGUUCAAAGCAGGCCUUUGCUCGAAUACAUUAGCAUGGAAUAAUAGAAUAGGACGUGCGGUUCUAUUUUGUUGGUUUCUAGGACCGCCGUAAUGAUUAAUAGGGAUAGUCGGGGGCGUCAGUAUUCAGCUGUCAGAGGUGAAAUUCUUGGAUUUGCUGAAGACUAACUACUGCGAAAGCAUUCGCCAAGGAUGUUUUCAUUAAUCAGGGAACGAAAGUUAGGGGAUCGAAGACGAUCAGAUACCGUCGUAGUCUUAACCAUAAACUAUGCCGACUAGGGAUCGGGCGGUGUUUCUAUAAUGACCCGCUCGGCACCUUACGAGAAAUCAAAGUUUUUGGGUUCUGGGGGGAGUAUGGUCGCAAGGCUGAAACUUAAAGAAAUUGAC
rnacentral:rRNA from 1 species